GGUUUACGCUACGAACUGCUUUGCACGACGGUACGCGCAACAGUUGCGUCGAGACGAGACACGAAGAGGAGUUACAGUCGGGCGUACCGUCGCUGGUCGAAUUGUUCUCCAGCACUUCAGCCAACAACAAUCGAAAAGUGCGCGCGUUCGCGGGGUUCUAAUCGAACUCCGAACAUCAAUUUUACAUCGAAUCGGUUGGUCCUCAAUUAUUAAUUAGAAAACCGCGUAAUUUCGAAUGCUGCCUAACACGUCUCGCGUUGCCAUGGAAAUCCGCGAGAAUGACGGCAUCAGUCCUGGACCGAAGAUACUUACAAUUAGAUAAACAACGUACUAAAUAUGUACACUUCCGCCACGAUGACGGAGGAGAAACGACUGUCGUUGGGCAUCAACGUCAGCAUUCUGCUGAUACUGACGAUAUUCGGCGUGCUUCUGUCCUUGCCUUUGCGAUUGUUGUUCGACACGAAUUACUCCGACCAGAAUCGCGAUGAGAGCGGAGCCAGUGGCCCGGGCGGGGGAAGAGAGUCCGUGAUACCGAUGGUUCACCGAAAAUUAAGAUGCUGUCCGAAUCUGCAGUACGAGGCUCGCUUGAUGUCCGUCUUUAUGAGCGAUUACGACGGAAAUUGCACGUACGUGCAGGACGAGUGCGACGAUGACGAGGAUGACGACGAUGAUGACAGCGACUCUGAAGAGGAAGAGGAUAGCAGAGAGGAUAAGGACGAGGAGGAGAGGACGAAGAAGACGUACAGGUCCAAGAGGCGCAUCGGCGAAGAAAUGAAAGAAAGCGCUGAAGAGAUCUUGAAGUCGCGUCAGAUGAAGUCCGUCACGGUGGCAGGCCACAUACUCGUGACGAUGUUGCUCGUAUCAGUAAUAGCCGCCCUCGUUGAAGUACUGCGAAUACGCUUCGCCAGAGAAAAAGAUUCGUCUAGGGCAGGCACGAUUAUUUCGCGGAGAAGCUCAUCCAACGUGGUGGACAUAUCCGCUCCAAGACGUCCCACUUCAAGAGAAUUAAUUAGAAGCCAAAAGUCCUUUGAGAUACCGGGAGGAAUGCACCAUUCCGCAAUGCGUUUAUUAGGAGCGCGGCCGCCCCCGCUUAUCCGUCGCUCUUCGUUUCCAAUACCACAAGCGAAAAAAGCCGCUACUUCGUCUCUUUGUGGUACACCGAGUAAAGGACUGACGCGGCGCCAGUCGGCUGAGUCGGACGAAGAAAUCGGGAUCACUAACGCUCUUCAUCAUCGCACCCGUCUAAUCCGACGACAUUAAAGCUGCACGAGAACAAGUAUACAUCAAUCCAUUAAAUUUUUACGUCGGCGACCAAACUAACAGGGUACGCGUCAUCACUAUACGAUUACACUACGCACAACGAUCACGUCCAAUGACCUUUUUUACGCUCGUGCAACGUCGAAAAACCCUUUUGCUGAGGAACAGAUUUCCGCAACAGCAUCUUCCAAUAACAUCCCUUACAGCGGCUUCAAUAGUGCUCCAUCUCCGCAACGCUUUUAUAUCACGCUGUCCAUUAAGUUCUGCUUUCUUAUAUUUAAAUUUAAAACAAUGAUUAAUAUACAGAAUCAAACAGGAUCGAAAGUCAUCGCGCAAAUCACUGUGGAAAGUUGAAUUACGACAGCACAUACCCGGACUAAUAUAUUUAAUAGAUAAUCUUUAUUUUCCAUAUAGAUCGCACAAUGCUUUAACCCUUAAAUGCGAAAUUUUUCGUAGCAUUCUGAGUAUUUUUAAAAUAAAUAAUAACUAUUUAAGAAAUCCUUGAAAAAUUCUUCUUUACGAAUUUUAACCCUUUUUGUCCUAAUGGAUGUACAUGCAGAGAAGGCUCUUUACAGAUGUGCAACAAAUGCGCACUUAAGGGUUAAAGUCGCACAAUCAAACGAAAGUAUUUGCAUUUAAUCUAAUUUAAUUAGCAGUGAGAUGUUAAUUAAUUAUUAUCGAUCUUCUUCUCGAGCAAUAGAAUAUUUAUACAAAUACGAUAUUGUUUCAAAUGGAUGUUUUAGAAAUGUGUACAUCAGAAGCGAGAUAGCAUUCUUAAAUUCAACUGCAGCUAAAUCAACGAUGUAACUAAGCUUUCGUUUGAAAUAAAGCUAAGAAAGAAUUAUUUUUUUUUAAACACUACUCUGAUGUAAACUUUUCUUGAGGCACCUGACGAUAGAAUAAGUAUAUGUGCACUCUCAAACUGAUCAUAGUACAACGACCAAAUAAUCUCUAAUCGUGUGAUUUCCGUCAUUUUCUUAACGCGUCCAUCAUUUCUUAUCAAUAUGUGUAUUAAUAUCUAAUAUUCAGAAAGAAUUAUAAAGCUCGUUUUGUCUCUACGAAAGUCACGAUGAACUCAUCAAAAUACAGACGAAUAUGCUAGAUUGUAAUUUUGUAACAUUGUAAAUGAGUUUGAAGGAAUAAUUCCUUGAUGUAUUUUCGUAACCGGAAAAUAUAGCUGUGUCUCUCUCUGCAUCGACAGAUCUUUGAUAAGCUUACGCAGCCUCAACGAACUGUGAUCAUCGUAUUUCUUUGUGAUAUGUACAAUCCGGCAUCAUAAAUGCCUUAACACGUCAAGUUGCAUCAAUUGCAAACGUACUCGCGUGCGAAUUGUAUUCAUGCAUUUGUAACUGUGUGUGACAUUGGCACAGUAGCCACUGUCUUAUUCGUGUAAAUAAGAAAAAAGACUUUACAAUAAUUAAAGCUUGCACAACACGGAA